AGGAAACAAAGGCUCAGAGACUGGCCUGCUCUUCCACAACCAGUGAGGAGCUGAGCUAGGACUGGAAUCCAUGUCUAAAUCCUUGUUCAGGUGGUGUACCACGUUGAUUGAUUUACCAAUGUUGAACCAUCCUUGUGUUCCUGGAAUAAACUGAACUUGAUCAAGCAAGCCAUUGAAUGCUGGCCUCACUUCUUCAUCCAACUUGCUUUUGAAGAUGAGAUUUCAGUUUCCUGAAUGAAUGCCUUUGGUCCUGUUCUUUUCAGAUAUGUACACCUGUGAAACAACCACCUCAAUCAAGACAGAAGACGUCCGUCAUCCCCAGAAGGAUCCUCAUAUCCCUUUACAGGCAACUCCACCUUCUACCUUUGUUCUCAGGCCAUCGGAGAUCAAUCUGCUUUUUGCCUCUGUAGAUUAGUUUGCCUUUUUUAAAGAAUUUUAUAUAAAUGGAACAAUACACUAUGCACUAUUUUGUAUCUAGUUACUUUCACUCAGAAUAAUGAUUUUGAGGUCAUUCAUUUUACUGUGUAUAGAGUAGAUUAUUCUUUUUACAUAUUAGUAGUAUUCUACUGUAUGGAUAUAUUUGUCUACCCAUGAUUUAUCUAUUGAUGGACAUUUGUAUUGUUUCCAGUAUGUGGCUAUUCCAAA